CCCUGGGAAAAAGGCCAUGAUUUCUUCGUGCUCGACCCCCCUCCCUCCACCUUCUUACUCCUCCAGCGCCUCCUCCCACCUCCCCAACUCCAUCCACUGCCAGCUACCGCGAUGCCAACCCACCCCCCGCGAUGGUCCAGUUCCUCACUGCCCCCGCUUAGCCACCCCUCACCAUCCUCACCCGGCCUCCCACGGCCCCACCCAACUCCGGCCAAGGCGAACCCCGGUGGCCCCAGCCCCGCGCCACACGCCUCCUCACCCGACCGCGGCUACAACCCCGUCCCGCGACACCAGCCUCCAUGGCCCCCCGCGCCGCCCGGCGACGGUCGGCCUCCACAGCCCUGGCACCGCCGCCUCCCCCCUCCCCGCGCCUCCCCGGUAACGGGAUCCGGUCGGUUCUUGCCCUACCAUGCCGCCAGGCGACGGAAUUCGAGGACCGACCUCCACCUCCACCUCCCUCCCCCGUCCCCAUCCCGGAUCUGCCGACGCGCCAUUGAUCCAUCGACGGCGACCCCAACGACUGCUGCUUCCACCUCUCGGCCAAAUCAGACGCGCCCAGGCUCCCUUCUCUCUCACUACUUUGGCUCGUGCAGUUCGGUCGGCAAGUCUGUGCAGUUCGCAGAUGACGGGAUUGCAGCUCCAAGCUCCCUGACUCCCUGUUGCCUCGAUCGAGGGGAUGCCCUGGCGUCCUCCUUUCCUCCACCCUCAUCUGCUCCUCUCCCUACGAUGCUCCACUAACGGCAAGCAGUCCAGGCUGCUCCCUAUUGCAGGUCGGCUGGGUCCUCUCCUAGAGCUGUUGUCACUACGCCUAGAGCAGUCUACAUAGCAGGCACACGUGGCCAUCGUAGACUCCCCGUGUAGUACACUUUUGUGCUAUGAGGCGGGUGUCGUCGGGAUUCGUCAGUAGGCUCCAAAUCUUGUGUUCAUCCUUUUUUCUCUCUUGGUGCAUUUCAUUGGAACCUCCAGUGCAGCUCUGUCGUGUGCACAUUGACGCCUCCUGUAGUUCACUAACGCCGGUGUGCACGAUAGCCCCGGCUCUCUUUCACCUAUGCUCCUCUUGUUUUGUUCUUCACUGAUGUUGUAGUCCGCUGAUGCAUGUCGUCUCGAUCAUCGGUGCAGUCCACCGGCGCACAAAAUUGUUUGUGCGGGCAAAAGUAGAGUAGGUACAGAGGUGUCGCAAUUCCAGGUAAGGGUGUCUACAACUUGAGGGUCCAGAACAAUGUGCUGCACUUCAGCCAUAGCGAGAUGAAUUGCCGAAGCUGAAUUAUUUGGCUACUUUCCUCGAUCGGAUGUCCCGCUACCAGGAUUCGAGCAGAUGGGGGCGGCGUCCCUCUCCGGAUCUGGCUGUUCCGGCUACAAGGUGGCAUGGCCAUCCCCUGGUGCAGUGCGGCCCGGUGUGGCACACAGUCCACCCCUCCACCACCUGCAGACCGGGAGGAGCACGGCGAUAUCCAUGUUCAGCCAUCCACUGCUCCCCUUCAAUUGUUUUCUUGCUUUUUCAGAUUUAACUGCAGCUUGCUUGGGGCGUCAAUGCGGUGCGGUUGGAUGUCCAGUCCACCGGCGAGCGUGCUUAUAGUCCGGUGACAUGAGGUCGUCGUCUCCUUCCAUCCCCCCGAUGGGCAGCCCCAUCCAUGCCUCGAUUCAGAAGAGGCGAGGCCGAUGGUGCAGGCGGAAGCUUCUCCAGCAUGGACAAUGGCAGGGUCGUCCCAUGCAUCUCCGUCGCGGAUCCCUCUACUCCCUUCCCCAACAGGCAUCCAUGGAGGUUAACGGCGCAAUGGCGAGCUCAUUUUCCGACGAAAAAACUAGCCACACCCUCUGCUGCCCUUUGCAUGGUUCCAGGGCAGGGUGAAGAUCUUUUCAUCCUUAAGUAAAAAAUCAAAGAGCGAUGUGGUCCACUGUUCUUUGCUCCUGACAUUCAGAUUACUUAUUUUUGCAGGAAGAAAAAUGUGCAAGUGAUCGGUUUUCACGUUGCAUUUUAUUUGCAGGUCCGGGGUCGUCGUGCAGUCCGUAUGUAAUCAUGUGGAGCAUAUUGUGUUUUGUUCCAUGCAAUGUAGCGUGUGUAAUCAUGCAAUUCUGUUGCAAACAUAGAUGAGGCAGUGUUUUAUGAGAA